rnacentral:rRNA from 1 species
GAUGAACGCUGGCGGCGUGCUUAACACAUGCAAGUCGAACGAACAGACGAGUUGCUUGUUCCUCGGACGGUAGCGGCGGACAGGUGAGUAACACGUGGAUAACAUACCUAUAAGACUGGGAUAACAUCGGGAAACCGGAGCUAAUACCGGAUAAUAUAUUGAACCGCAUGGUUCAUGGGUGAGAGACGGAUUUGCUGUCACUUAUAGAUGGAUCCGCGGCGGAUUAGCUAGUUGGUGGGGUAAUGGCUUACCAAGGCAACGAUGGGUAGCCGACCUGAGAGGGUGAUCGGCCACCACAGAACGGAGGAGACGCCCAGCCGCCUACGGGGGGAGGCAGUAGGGAAUCUUACGGAAUAGGCGGAAGCCUGACGGAGCAGCGCCGCGGGGGUGGUGAAGGUCGUCGGCUCGUUAAGCUCCUUUUUUAGGGAAGAACAAAUGUGUACGUAACUGUGCGCGGCUUGACGGUACCUAAUCAGGAAGCCACGGCUAACUACGUG